rnacentral:rRNA from 1 species
GACGAACGCGGCGGCGCGCCUAAUACAUGCAAGUAGAACGCUGAAGGAGGAGCUUGCUUCUCUGGAUGAGUUGCGAACGGGUGAGUAACGCGUAGGUAACCUGCCUGGUAGCGGGGGAUAACUAUUGGAAACGAUAGCUAAUACCGCAUAAUAGUAGAUGUUGCAUGACAUUUGCUUAAAAGGUGCAAUUGCAUCACUACCAGAUGGACCUGCGUUGUAUUAGCUAGUUGGUGAGGUAACGGCUCACCAAGGCGACGAUACAUAGCCGACCUGAGAGGGUGAUCGGCCACACUGGGACUGAGACACGGCCCAGACUCCUACGGGAGGCAGCAGUAGGGAAUCUUCGGCAAUGGGGGGAACCCUGACCGAGCAACGCCGCGUGAGUGAAGAAGGUUUUCGGAUCGUAAAGCUCUGUUGUAAGAAAGAACGAGUGUGAGAGUGGAAAGUUUCACACUGUGACGGUAUCUACCA